GCAAAUGCGUUGCAGAGGAAUAGUAGGCGUCGUGGAAUGGAUAGAGAGCCGCUGGUUGGUGGAAAGCGGAGAGGAAGCGCCGUCGAACUCGCCUUGAAGCAGCUCGCUGAAACCGACAUGGAGUAGGCGGAGCCGGUGCCUGACCGUUAGAGCAGGAGGAUAUGAUGGUAUCCGUUAAAGUGCGCGCUUCGGCGCGAAAUUGAGUGGUAACACGUAAGCAUUGCCUUUCGUCUCUUUG
rnacentral:ncRNA from 1 species